CGUAAAGCGAUGACUGGGCCAAGUAUUCCGUACAGCAGUGUCAGCGAGUUAGGGUGGGUGUGAGCCUAAUCUCUGCAGCGGACGAAAAUCCCCCAGGAGCGUCUCUUGAAAAGCGAAGUAGAGAGCAUCGGGUAAUUCCGUUAUCGAUUCGUCGAGUGAGACUGACAACCGGUCGUCAUUUCUUUCAUGCGGGAACCGGAUUUCUGUUUGAGGGGAUGGCAGCGGGCCGGAACGGUCUAACAAGGGUGGUACCGCGAGCUUAACUUCUCGUCCCUUUU
rnacentral:ncRNA from 1 species